GACGCGCCAGAUUUAGGAUCUGGUUCCCGACAGGGAUUGGGGGUUCGAAUCCCCCCUCUCGCA
rnacentral:tRNA from 1 species